CGCGAGUCGCGGGGUCUUGGACAGGCCCGCGGGCGCAGUGAAAGCGGAAGGAGGGGCCCCCUCUCGCGGAACCGCCGUGCCGGGACUCUCCGCUCCCGAGGCGGGGAGGCACCGGCGACCCGUUCCGGCCGCCGCGGCGGCGGGACGGAGUCCGAGCGCACACGUUGGGACCCGAAAGAUGGUGAACUAUGCCCGGGCAGGGCGAAGCCAGAGGAAACUCUGGUGGAGGCCCGCAGCGGUUCUGACGUGCAAAUCGAUCGUCGGACCUGGGUAUAGGGGUGAAAGGCUAAUCGAACCGUCUAGUAGCUGGUUCCCUCCGAAGUUUCUCGCAGGAUAGCUGGCGCUCGUGGGGGAAACCAUCCUCUUCCGGUAAAGCAAAGGACUAAAGGCCUGGGGGUCAAACCAACCUCAACCUAUUCUCAAAUUUUAAAUGGGUGAGGGGUCCGGCUUGCGCGUGCGGGAGCCGGACGACGGGAUGCGAGCGCCCAGUGGGCCACUUUUGGUAAGCAGAACUGGCGCUGUGGGAUGAACCAAACGCCGGGUUAAGGCGCCCGAUGCGAGACGCUCACGAGACCCCAUGAAAGGUGUCUGUUGCUACAGACAGCAGGACGGUGGCCACGGAGGUCGGAACCCGCUAAGGAGUGUGUAACAACUCACCUGCCGAAGCAACUGGCCCUGAAAAUGGAUGGCGCUCCAGCGUCGAGCCCACACCCGGCCGUCGCCGCAGAGCUCCCGGAGCGAAGGGAGGCCCACGCGGCGACGAGUAGGAGGGUCGCGGCGGCGGGCGUCGAAGGUGCCGGGCGCGAGCCCGCCUGGAGCCGCCGCUGGCGCAGAUCUUGGUGGUAGUAGCAAAUACUCAAGUGAGAGCCUUGAGGACUGAGGUGGAGAAGGGUUCCAUGUGAACAGCAGUUGAACAUGGGUCAGUCGGCCCUAAGGGAUGGGAGAAGUCCGUUCGGAAGCGGGACGUUGAGAGAGAGAGAGAGCGAGAGUCCCGCUCGCGACCGAAAGGGAACGGGGUCAAUAUUCCCCGACCCGGACACGGAGAUCGGGCCCUCGGGUCCAAGCGCGGCGACGCAAGCGAACUCGGAGACGCCGGCGGGUGCCCCGGGGAGAGUUGUCUUUUCUUUGUAAGGGUCCGGGCCCCUGGAAGCGGCUCGUCCGGAGAUAGGGGCGCUGGGCCCGUAAAGCACCGCGGCUCUUGCGGUGUCCGGAGCGCUCCCGCCGGCCCUUGAAAAUCCGAGGGAGGUGGUGUGAUUCUCGUGCCGGACCGUACCCAUAUCCGCAGCAGGU
rnacentral:rRNA from 1 species